rnacentral:rRNA from 1 species
UACAGAGGUCUCAAGCGUUGUUCGGAUUCAUUGGGCGUAAAGGGUGCGUAGGCGGCGCGGUAAGUCUGGUGUGAAAUCUCGGAGCUUAACUCCGAAACUGCAUUCGAUACUGCCAUGCUUGAGGACUGGAGAGGAGACUGGAAUUUACGGUGUAGCGGUGAAAUGCGUAGAUAUCGUAAGGAAGACCAGUGGCGAAGGCGGGUCUCUGGACAGUUCCUGACGCUGAGGCACGAAGGUCAGGGGAGCAAACGGG